GGAUCAUUACUGAGUGAGGGUUUCGGCCCGACCUCCAACCCUUUGUGAACCAACUUGUUGCUUCGGGGGCGACCCUGCCGUUCGCGGUCGCGGCGCCCCCGGAGGCCAUCAAACACUGCAUUUUGUACGUCGGAGUCUCAAGUAAAUUGAACAAAACUUUCAACAACGGAUCUCUUGGUACUGGCAUCGAUGAAGAACGCAGCGAAAUGCGAUAAGUAAUGUGAAUUGCAGAAUUCAGUGAAUCAUCGAAUCUUUGAACGCACAUUGCGCCCCCUGGUAUUCCGGGGGGCAUGCCUGUUCGAGCGUCAUUUCACCACUCAAGCCUGGCUUGGUAUUGGGUGUCGCGGGUCUCCGCGCGCCUUAAAGUCUCCGGCUGAGCUGUCUUGAACCCUAGCGUUGUGAAUCAUAUUCGCUACAGGGGAUGGGCGGCCGCGGCCGUUAAAUCUUUCAAAGGUUGACCUCGGAUCAGGUAGGGAUACCCGCUGAACUUAAGCAUAUCAAUAAGCGGAGGAAAAGAAACCAACAGGGAUUGCCCUAGUAACGGCGAGUGAAGCGGCAACAGCUCAAAUUUGAAAUCUGGCGCAAGCCCGAGUUGUAAUUUGCAGAGGAUGCUUCUGGGUAGCGACCGGUCUAAGUUCCUUGGAACAGGACGUCAUAGAGGGUGAGAAUCCCGUAUGCGACCGGCCCGCACCCUCCACGUAGCUCCUUCGACGAGUCGAGUUGUUUGGGAAUGCAGCUCUAAAUGGGAGGUAAAUUUCUUCUAAAGCUAAAUACCGGCCAGUGACCGAUAGCGCACAAGUAGAGUGAUCGAAAGAUGAAAAGCACUUUGGAAAGAGAGUUAAAAAGCACGUGAAAUUGUUGAAAGGGAAGCGCUCACAACCAGACUUCGUAGCGGUGUUCCGCCGGUCUUCUGACCGGUCUACUCAUCGUCGCGAGGCCAACAUCGUCUCGACCCGCCGGAUAAGACCUUAGGAAUGUAGCUUUUCCUCGGGAAAGUGUUAUAGCCUGUGGUGAUACGGCGCGGUUGGGGCGA
rnacentral:rRNA from 1 species